UUUAAAUGCGAUAAUAUCGUAAAAUUUAAUUAACAGUUAAAUGCUGUACACAGCUUCAUUUAA
rnacentral:tRNA from 1 species